CGGACCUGGUAAUAGUGAGUAUCGACGUGUCAGAGUAAAUGUAUAAAUAUUUAACUAAUUACUGGAAUUGAUUUGGUCAAGUGCAACUGCUCACUGUUUAGCAGCGGUGUCUCAGCUGUUUGGCAGCUGCUCGAAUGGGAGGAAGAUGUGUGUUUCGUCGUUUUCGUGAAGAUCACUCAGCGACCCACACGCUGCAGCUCUGUUGUUCAGCAGCAGAUGAUGUGCUGUCAGCCACUGACUUGUCAUUCCCACUCGCCAUCACUUACCAUUGUCAUCAAAUGGACUCAAACUAGCCACAAGUUCUGACUGAGCUCAAUCGUCAUGAAACGCAAAUACAGCGAUGAGUUUCUCACUCUUGGUUUUGUACAAACUUUGAGAAAUAACGAGGAUCGCCCGCGAUGUGUUUUGUGCAGGGAAGUGCUUAGUAUUGAUUCUCUCAAAACGAACAAAUGAAAACGACACGUCCUGACCAAACAUCCACAGUAUGACGGUAAACCCAGGGAGUUCUUUCAGAACAGGGAAGAAUGCUUCAGGAAACAGUGCUUCGACAGCGGAAGAGUUACAUAAAGGAAUAACACAAACUGAGUGUCCCAUCCCUCACCACCAUGAUACAAACCCACUCUUUGUCUUUAUGAGUGGUCACUCAGGUCCAUCCAGCCUGCAGUCAGAACCGGGUCCAAGCUCCACUGCCAGAGUCAGAUCCACAAGGACUGGUGACCUCCAGCCUGCAGUCAGAACCGGGUCCAGCCUCCACCACCACAGCCAGCCCACAGGGACUAGUGUCCUUUCCUCUGUAAUUAAUCUAUCUGCUGAGCCUCAUCUCUCUCUCUCUCUCUUAACCUACUCACAUAUCUGUAGAAAUAACAAACCCUGCAUGGUCUCUCCAUAACAAACAUCUCCCCAUAAUUGCCAGUGAUAUUCGUGUUCACUCCAUUAAGUUGACCACACCGAGUGGGACGCCAGAGAGGGAAGAUGGAUCAGCUGCUAGCGUUGAGAAAAGACAGGGGCCUUGUCUUCAAAGAGGCAGGCAGAGCUUGGAGGAUAAAGUCCCCUCGGGCCUCGCCGACUAACAAGGUCAGGCUCUUGUGUUGGAUGACAGCAGUUUUCCACCUCAAAUUCAUUCAACCAAAUGACCUCAAUAGUCUCAAAACGUGGCGUUCCGAGGAGAAACUCAGACAUCAUAUCUGGGUGUUUGAUAGCGGCCAGUCUGGCAGUCGGUCGGGGGAGAGAGGAGAGGAUGUGGGGUUUAGAUUAGAGCGAGGCGAAGAUGAAGACAGGCUUUUAUAACCAGUCUGGAUGUGAGCCGGGGCCAGAGCUCCUGAAGUAAGCUGUUAAAGAAGCCUUUUAAAAACACAGGGCUUUGAUGCUGGGAGAGGAUAAUCAUUUUGGUUGGCUAUGUAUCGCUUUAGCAGAACUCUAAAGAAGUCCCAGACAGACUGCCCAAGAAAAAGACCCUCAGAUCUGGCAUGGCUCAGAGUACCUACUGCAUUGGACACAAAGAGACACCUCAACCUAGUCAGUCACCAAUCAGUCAUAUGGCAUAGUACCUGUAUGGUUAGUAGAUCUUGGUAGACUAGAAUCUACUCUAUGGUUGGUAGAUCUUGGUAGACUAGAAUCUACUCUAUGGUUAGUAGAUCUUGGUAGAAUAUAAUCUACACUAUACCUGUAUGGUUUGUAGAUCUUGGUAGACUAGAAUCUACUCUAUGCCUGUAUGGUUAGUAGAUCUUGGUAGACUAGAAUCUACUCUAUGCCUGUAUGGUUAGUAGAUCUUGGUAGACUAGAAUCUACUCUAAACCUGUAUGGUUUGUAAAUCUUGGGAGACUAGAAUCUACUCUAUGGUUUAUAGAUCUUGGUAGAAUAGACUCUACCAUAUCUGCAUGGUUUGUAGAUCUUGGUAGAAUAGACUCUACCAUAUCUGUGUAGAGCAGUAGGAAGAUGUCUAGUCUCUAUCGACAGCAGCCUGCGCUUAUAAUGGCUCACUGGGAUCUCAGACAGCUCUACCAUACAUCAACACCUUAUUGGCCACCGAACCCCAACAAACCUCUAGCAUGUUUUCACAGCUUGGAAGCCAGAGGUGAGGGGAGGUCUGGGAAGAGCUGGGAUCCCCACGGUAUGCUUUCCCCCUUUUACUUUGGAACACACACACACACACACUCACGCACGCACGCACACACACACACACACACACUUGUGGAAUUCACACAAACACAUUUUUGGAAUUCACUCACACAAAUUAUUUAUGAAAUUAUUUUAUAAAGCCUUUUUUUACAUCAGCAGAUGUCACAAAGUGCUAUACAGAAACCCAGCCUUAAACCCCAAACAGCAAUGCAGAUGUUGAAGCACAUGCAUGUACACACACUUUGGAAUUCACACACAUACCGACUGUCAUGCACGCUGUCACGCACACACACACAUUUUGAAUGUCACACACACACGCACGCACGCACGCACGCACGCACGCACACACACACACACACACACACACACACACACACACACACACACACACACACACACACACACACACACACACACACACACACACACAGAGAGAAAGGCUUUCCCCUAAGGGUGUUUGAAGCUGCCUCUCCAGCCCAUGUUUAUUAUUCCUGAGUGAUUCUCUCCACAGAGACAAUAGAUUUGAAGGGGCACAUGACCCUCUUCCUCAAAAUCUUUGUUUAUAUGUUUUCCCCAACAAAGUAAACAUGCCUUGAGAAAACAAGGCAGAUCGGGUUAGGGCUACACGUUACAUCAUGGACACACAGCGAGGCAGUAUAGUCACUAUUUGUGCCUUCUGACAAUUGUGAGGAGUUAACAAUGAACCAUUCUUGCACCUGCUCUAAACUUGCUUGGUAACAUUGGAAACAUUCAUAUUUUCGACCAUAGCAUGUGAUGAAUGGGAAUGUGAAUGUGGUGAGUUUCCAACAUGAUCAAAAGUAGUGCACUACAUAGGGAAUAGGGUGCCAUUUGGGAAACAUUCUAAGAGAACAAGGGCCUCUCAACCACUGAACCAUCCUGCUCAGCCUUCUGCUACCCAUGAAGCACUCUGCCUGCCACCAGGCAGACCCCACACACCUUGCCAUCCUCCCAUCCUCUGGCUCCUGCAGGAGGCCAAGGCACUGACCCACGGAGGGAAACAGACUCACUACAGAUAACUAUUUUAGACCACAACAGGAGCUACUGAUGUUUUACUGUGCGAUGACUGAAAACCUUAUUUGAGUGAAGUAGCUAGAUGUUUCUGUAGCAGUCACUUCAGGGCAGGAAAUCAUUACAUCAAUAUUGGUUAUGAUGUCAUGUAAUAGCAGGCUGUAGCCAUAGCAACAUAACCUAUAGCUACCGUACCAUAAAGCCUUACAUUUAAGAACUACAUAUUUCAUUUGUUGUCUAGUACUGUGAGGUGAGGACUCAGAGUAUCUCAAUGUGAGCUCUGUGAGAGGAGAGGAGGUCACACAGAGUGUCUGCAGCUGCAGUCCAGGAUGAAUGGUGGACAGGGGGAUAAAGAUGGGUAGGGGGAUGCAUGGGGGGGCAGGGGGUGCUCUUGGCCAAAAACAAGAGAGGGACCGAGGCCGACCCACCACUCAGAGAGACAGAGACAUUAUGGUGUCCCACCUAACCUGUAGUUCUGCUCCUACAAGAAGAGAGAGACAGACAGACACACUGACAGACACAGACAGACAGACAAACAUGGACAGACAGACAGAGUAUUUGCACACAGUGAACUAUUUGGACAUAAUAUGACAUUUGAAAUGUUACUUUUGUGAGUGUAAUGUUUAAUGUUAAUUUGUAUUGUUUAUUUAACUUUUGUUAUCUACCUCACAUGCUAUGGCAAUGUUAACAUAUGUUUCCCAUGCCAA
rnacentral:lncRNA from 1 species